rnacentral:rRNA from 1 species
AUUGAACGCUGGCGGCAUGCCUUACACAUGCAAGUCGAACGGCAGCACGGGAGCAAUCCUGGUGGCGAGUGGCGAACGGGUGAGUAAUAUAUCGGAACGUGCCCAGUAGUGGGGGAUAGCCCGGCGAAAGCCGGAUUAAUACCGCAUACGACCUGAGGGUGAAAGCGGGGGAUCGCAAGACCUCGCGCUAUUGGAGCGGCCGAUAUCAGAUUAGCCAGUUGGUGGGGUAACAGCCCACCAAGGCAACGAUCUGGAGUUGGUCUGAGAGGACGACCAGCCACACUGGGACUGAGACACGGCCCAGACUCCUACGGGAGGCAGCAGUGGGGAAUUUUGGACAAUGGGCGCAAGCCUGAUCCAGCAAUGCCGCGUGCAGGAAGAAGGCCUUCGGGUUGUAAACUGCUUUUGUCAGGGAAGAAAUCUUCUGGGCUAAUACCCUGGGAGGAUGACGGUACCUGAAGAAUAAGCACCGGCUAACUACGUGCCAGCCGCCGCCGUAAUAC